AUUGAACGCUGGCGGCAGGCUUAACACAUGCGAGUCGAGCGGAGAUGAGGUGCUUGCACCUUAUCUUAGCGGCGGACGGGUGAGUAAUGCUUAGGAAUCUGCCUAUUAGUGGGGGACAACAUUCCGAAAGGAAUGCUAAUACCGCAUACGUCCUACGGGAGAAAGCAGGGGAUCUUCGGACCUCGCGCUAAUAGAUGAGCCUAAGUCGGAUUAGCUAGUUGGUGGGGUAAAGGCCUACCAAGGCGACGAUCUGUAGCGGGUCUGAGAGGAUGAUCCGCCACACUGGGACUGAGACACGGCCCAGACUCCUACGGGAGGCAGCAGUGGGGAAUAUUGGACAAUGGGGGGAACCCUGAUCCAGCCAUGCCGCGUGUGUGAAGAAGGCCUUAUGGUUGUAAAGCACUUUAAGCGAGGAGGAGGCUACUGAGACUAGUACUCUUGGAUAGUGGACGUUACUCGCAGAAUAAGCACCGGCUAACUCUGUGCCAGCCGCCGCUGUAA
rnacentral:rRNA from 1 species